UUAUUAUAAUUAUUCUUUGCUACAAUAGAUGAACCUACAACUUUAAGUAGAACAAAAAGAAUCGCUAAAAAUAACGGAAUUAAUAAAGAAGAUAUGUUUAAAUUAAUCAGCAUUAUAGAGACUUGUAAACCACUUUGGGACCAUAGAUUACCACUAGGUGAUCGAUCAGAAAAUAUUAAAAAUAAUAUGUGGAAUGAAGUUUUUGUCCAAUUUAAUGGUAAAAUAGUUGAAAAACUGUUAACUCAAUACAAAUAACGUAUUAUUGUAUUUUGUUUAUUUUGUUUACAUAAUAAAAGUGUUAACUACCCUCCUUAUAUGUAAUAUACUAGGUUCAUAUACUCUAGAAUGCUUAAAAAGUACCUGGAAGUAUAUUAGAGAAAGGUACACAAGAGAAAAAAAACCAAGUGCAAGUGGUAGUGCAGGUGGUACCAAAAAGGUUUGGGAACAUUUUCAGAGUUUACUUUUUUUUGGAUGACGUAUUAUUGGUACAAAAGCGCACAAUAGAUAACCUUACUCAAGAAUCAACAAGUUCAAAUGAACUAAAUGAAUCAACUCUGUCAUCAAAACGUUCUAAAAGACCUACAAUUGAACAUUAUAUGGGUUCCUUGAUUGAUGAACUUAAACAUAGCAGACCUAUGACUCCAACUGAACCUGUCUUACUGGCACCUGAACCACCAAAUGAAGAUCAUACAUUUAGCUUGUAUUUAACAAAUAUUAUGUCAGAGAUUCCAAAACAAUCAAAAAUAAGGUUGCAAGGAAAACUUAUAGCUUUAGUUAUAGAAGAGCUAAGUAAAUAAACCAUAUUAUUAUAUGUAUAAUAUAUUUAGAUAUAUCCAAAGAAAGAAACUUAUGGACUUUACGUGUGCAAUAAAAAGGCUGUUGUACUUUUUU